rnacentral:lncRNA from 1 species
ACUCCCCAAACUUCCUGGCCCCGCGCAGACCUCCCCCAGAGGCUGCCCCCCGCGGGGCCUCCGUCCCACAGUAGGGAAGACAGACAAACAAAAACGAAGCCCAAGCUUCCAACUCCGCUCCCGGCGGGGCUCAGGCCGCCCUUCCGGACCCCUCCCGCCUCCUCCUCCGGGCGGCCGCUUCUAGCACAGGAGGACCAGGGAGAGCUGCCCUCCACAGGCGGCCUGGCCCAGCCGGGGCGUCCCGGGCACGCUGUCCCCGCGCUCAUCUGCCCCGUCUCCGCUGUCCCUCUGUCCGUCCCGCUCUGUCCCUCUGUCCAGGGGGGGGCAUCUGUCAUCUGUCCCGCUCUGUCCCUCUGUGGGCAUCUGUCCCUCUGUCCGUCCCACUCUGUCCCUCUGUCUGUCCCGCUCUGUCCCUCUGUCCGGGGGGGGCAUCUGUCCCGCUCUGUCCCUCUGUCCGGGGGGGCAUCUGUCCCGCUCUGUCCCUCUGUGGGCAUCUGUCCCUCUGUCCGUCCCGCUCUGCCCCUCUGUCUGUCCCUCUGCCCGCGGGGGCCACCACUGCCACAGACAUCAGACUCAAGGGGCUUUGUGAAAAGCCCCUCCAACUACCGGCCGGGGCUCCCCCUGGGACAGGGCCCCGCCCCCCCUCCUCCGGCAGGAGCGCCCGACAGGGGCCAGGUCAGUAACGGCAGCGCGCCUGCGGGGGGGGGGGGGGGGGGGCACUCUGUACGCCGGCCCCCUUGUGCGCCUGCGCCGGGACAGAGACGCUCGGGCCCCUGGCUGACACCUUCGGGGCGCAGUGACCGCCGCUCCGGGACCGCGGGACUUCUGGUCAGUCUUUUACAGUGACCGACAGGAAGACCCGCCUCCACCCCCGCCAACAGUCCCGGCCUGGGUCCGGCUGUGAGUCACCGCCCUUCCCCCAGAAGUGUCACAGGUGGGAAACCGAGGCCGCCCAGGCCCCGCCCCUCAGUGGCCCAGGGUGACUUACGGCCCCGCCCAGGGCUCGGCCGGGGAGCGCGG